CACCAGCGCCACGAGUGGCAAUCGCGUUUAUUGGGCCUAAAGCGUCCGUAGCAGGUUUUGUAAAUUUCUUGUGAAACUGCCAAGCUUAACUUGGCAAUGUGCAGGAAACACUGCAAGACUAGAGACCGGGAAGGGUCGGAAGUAUUCCUGAGGGAGCGGUAAAAUGCUAUAAUCUCAGGAGGACUACCGGUGGCGAAGGCGUCCGACUAGAACGGAUCUGACUGUGAGGGACGAAAGCUAGGGGAGCAAACCGG
rnacentral:rRNA from 1 species